ACAUGGCUGCUCGUGUCUGCACCUUAUCCAGGUGGUAGCUUACUUAUAUUGCUCUGGGUCUAAAGGGAAAGUAGGUAGGUCUGAAUGGUGAGUGGGAAUGGCCCAUUUUAGCUCUAGGACAGGGAGUUUAGGGAUGGGUGGAUCUAGGGGCUAAUGGGAGGACCUGAGGACCUGAAGUGGGGAAAAUGAUAACAACCACCUCUUCCAC